UGGGGAAUAUUCGAAAUGGACGAAAGUCUGAUCUAGCAACACCGCGUGUGCGAAGCAGGCCUUCGGGUCGUAAAGCACUUUUUGGAAGGAAUAGGAAGGAAUGUACUUCCAGAAUAAGUCUCGGCUAACUACGUGCCAGCAGCCGCGGUAACACGUAGGAGGCGAACGUUAUCCGGAUUUACUGGGCGUAAAGCGCGUGUAGGUGGUUCUGUAAGUAGGGCGUGAAAGCUCCUGGCUCAACUGGGAGAGGCCGUUCUAAACUACAGAACUAGAGGAUGGUAGAGGGAGGUGGAAUUCCAGGUGUAGCGGUGGAAUGCGCAGAUAUCUGGAGGAACACCAGUGGCGAAGGCGGCCUCCUGGACCAUUCCUGACACUCAGACGCGAAAGCUAGGGUAGCAAACG
rnacentral:rRNA from 1 species